rnacentral:lncRNA from 1 species
UGCAGCCCCUGCCAUGAGGUCAAUGGCAGCCUGGAUAGGGGGAUUGGACUUCAUGUUUGCCCACUCUUCUGCUGGUCUCAUGGAAGGCAGCUCUCUGGAGCUUAUGACAGGCACCACAUAUCCCUGGGGGGAGGCAAGAGUUCACCAUUAGUCCAAGUCUGCAGCCUCCCAUUCUCUAGGCCUGCAGCCAAAUUACUGGACCUAAACUUCUGGGAGCCAUGAACUGGGCUCUACAUUGUUCCAAAGGAAAG